AUGGAAAAGCCGAGUUGGGGAAGAAUACAUUGAAUCACAGCUGGGGAAGAAGGCAUUGGAAUCAAAUCGGAAAUAUGGCCGCCGCGGCGGUUGGCAGUGUGCAAUAGGCCACCGCGGCGCCCUUAUGGGCAGCAAUAGACCGCCGCGGCUCACCACUGUGGACACUUAUUAUAAAACAUUCCAAUCACCUCUCCACAUCAUUCACAUUAGCUAGGGUUUCAUUCUUCCCCAAUUUCAUUUCCCUCUCAACACCUUCAGCGGCGGCACCACCUCACACCACCGCCAUGGCAUCGGAGAAGAAACUCUCAAACCGGGAAAUCAAAGUUUAGAAACUCGUCCUCAACAUCUCAGUCGGCGAGAGCGGAGAUCGUCUAACCAGAGGUGAUAAGGUGUUGGAACAGCUUAGAGGCCAAACCCCUGUUUUCUCCAAGGAUAUAAUGAAUCACUAAAGUGAUCCCCCGACCACCGGCGAAUCACGGUAUCCCACCGGCAGGGCGCAGUCCCCCAGCAGAUGGUUCCAGUCCCAGUUUGGAGGAGGCGGAGGUGGCGGGUCUCUGUUCCCCAACGGCGGAGGGGGAAACGUCAGCAGUGGAUUUAGAGGGGGAAAUGUUGGUGGCGGGUUCGACAUGGGAGGCAGCGGCGGUUCCCCAGCGGGAACCAAUUCCCUGAGAGGUUUCCUUCAUUCCCCGGGGGCUACAUUCCGGUCCCGUGGCCGCACUCUCCAUUCCAAGGCAGAGGCGGUGGGUUCCCUUCCUUUGGCGGCGAAUUCGGAGGGGAAAACGCCAGUGGCAGAUUCGGAAGGAGAAACGCAGGCGACAGGUACGACAUGGGUGGCGGCGGGUUCGGCAUGGGAGGCAGCGGUGACGACAACAAUUUUAGCGGGUUCCCCGGUGGGAACCAAUUCCCUAGGGGGUUUCCUUCAUUCCCCGGCGGCUACAUUCCUGUCUUGUGGCCGUACUCUCCGUUCCAAGGCGGAGGCUGGUUCCCUUUCUUUGGCGGUGGAUUCGGCAGCGCCAACGCUGGUGCCGGUAGACCGAUGACCCCCCAAUUGCCAUUUGGGGACAAUGUCUAUGGUGCCCCCCCUCCUUCCCAGACGUAGGGUUCUGCCUCCACCCCAUCGCGGUUCCAUCAGGGUACCCCUCCACCCCAGAUGUGGGGUCAGUCCUCCAACCAGAGGACUUUGGGUCGACCCCAAUCGGCAUUUGGGGACUACCGGCCCAACAUGGACGUGGUUAACAAUCCGCCGAUUGAUACCACUACUCCCUCUACCCCACCCACCCAACCCCUCGUUGAUUUUGAUUCGUUCACAUUCGAGCAGAUGGGUAUCGGUCCAGCGCGGUAUUACAAUCCUGUACCACCCCGUCAUCGGCACUGGUACAUGGACGUGUGGAGGCGCUGGCACUGAGGUGGAGAGGCGGGCGACGCGGUGGCCGCGACGGUGGCAGAGGGAGAGGCGGCCAGAGCCGGAUGGGGGGGACGUACUACUCAGGGGAGGAGUCCAUUGCCGUGGCGAAGGCGUGGUUCUCAAUCACGGAGGAUCCAGCUGUUGGAACGAAUCAGACGGAAAGCGGUUUCUGGGCCCGCAUCGUCACUGCCUACAAUGAGUUCAAGCCGCGUGGCGCAGCGGAGCGGAAUGAGGACCAAAUCUGCAAAAAAUUUAAGCAGAUUCAAACCCGUCAGCAGGUUCUCGGGCAUCCACCAGAACAACCUUCGCCUAGCCGAAAGUGGCCGUAGCAAGGCCCUCUCGUACUAGAUGCAUAGAGAGAAUGGGAAAUAUCCCAAAUUCACCUACUGGGAUGAAUAUCUCAUUCUCAGGGAUUCAAUGAAAUUUAGGGCCAUCUGUGAGGAAGAGGGUGGGGCGGCGCCGAAGCGGACGAGACUCGGAGUAUUCGGGCACUACAGCAGCAACAGUGGCUCACAAUCUAUCGACUUCAACGAAGGGGUUGAAGAGGAGCCCCCGCCACACUUUCCCGCCGCCGACGUCCACCCGGCCAGCAAUCCACUCUUCGGGACGCUAGAGCCGCCGGUGCUUCCACGUUUGGAUCCCGCGGGGAAUGUUUGCCCCGAUUGAGGUGCUGGAAAAGAACCUUGAGAUUCAGAAGAAGAAGCUGCUGAUCGAGGUCGUCGGAAAUUACAAGGGCUCGACCGACCCGGUGGCCAAGGGGAUGCUCAGGGAACUCAUGCAGAGGCUGAAAGGUCAGCUGGGGUUGACGUCCGAUGAUGAGGCGGAGGCUGCUGGGGAUGGAGAUAAAGCGGCGGAUUCCGGGGAUGCCACCGAGUGAGCGGUGCCGGGUUUUUUCUUUUAGUGUUUUUAGAUAAUUUUCGUUGUAUAAUUUUCGUUGUAUAACUUUCCAAUAUUUAUAAUACAACGAAGAUUUAGUUUUAUUUUUUUAA